UACGAAGGGGGCUAGCGUUGCUCGGAAUUACUGGGCGUAAAGCGCACGUAGGCGGUCUUUUAAGUCGGGGGUGAAAGCCUGUGGCUCAACCACAGAAUGGCCUCGAUACUGGGACGCUUGAGUAUGGUAGAGGUUGGUGGAACUGCGAGUGUAGAGGUGAAAUUCGUAGAUAUUCGCAAGAACACCGGUGGCGAAGGCGGCCAACUGGACCAUUCUGACGCUGAGGCGCGAAAGCGUGGGGAGCAAACAGG
rnacentral:rRNA from 1 species